UACCAGGGUGGUAACGGGUAACGGGGUGUUAGGGCGCGACACCGGAGAGGGAGCCUGAGAAACGGCUACCACAUCCAAGGAUGGCAGCAGGCGCGCAAAUUACCCAAUCCCGACACGGGGAGGUAGGGACAAUAAAUAACAAUACGGGGUUCUUUAGGAUCUCGUAAUUGGAAUGAGUACAAUUUAAAUCUCUUAACGAGGAACAAUUGGAGGGCAAGUCUGGUGCCAGCAGCCGCGGUAAUUCCAGCUCCAAUAGCGUAUAUUAAAGUUGUUGCAGUUAAAAAGCUCGUAGUUGAAUUUCGGGGUCAGUAGGUCGGUCGUGCCACUGGUAUGAACUGGUUUUACUGAUUCCUCCCUCUUGAAGAACUGUAAUGCCAUUAAUUUGGUGUUGCAGGGAAUCAGGACUGUUACUUUGAAAAAAUUAGAGUGUUUAAAGCAGGCUUUAGCUUGAAUACAUUAGCAUGGAAUAAUGAAAUAGGACGUUUGAUCCUAUUUUGUUGGUUUCUAGGAUUGACGUAAUGAUUAAUAGGGAUAGUUGGGGGCAUUAGUAUUCAAUUGUCAGAGGUGAAAUUCUUGGAUUUAUUGGAGACUAACUACUGCGAAAGCAUUUGCCAAGGAUGUUUUCAUUAAUCAAGAACGAAAGUUAGGGGAUCGAAGACGAUCAGAUACCGUCUUAGUCUUAACCAUAAACUAUGCCGACUAGGGAUCGGAUGAUGUUAAUUUUUUAAUGACUCAUUCGGCGCCUUACGGGAAACCAAAGUGUUU
rnacentral:rRNA from 1 species